rnacentral:misc_RNA from 1 species
GUGGUGGUUGGGUCGCUUUGCUUGCUGGGCUGGGCGGGGGUGUGGUUCUUGAACCGGAGACUCUACAAAGAGUAUGAAGAGAAGAGAGUGUUAGUUCAGAUCAUUUUCAGCGUCGUUUUUGCUUUCUCUUGCAAUCUUCUUCAGCUCGUCCUUUUUGAGAUCAUCCCUUUCCUCUCCAAAGAGGCAAGAUGGAUUAACUGGAAGGUGGAUCUGUU